rnacentral:rRNA from 1 species
GACGAACGCUGGCGGCGUGCUUAACACAUGCAAGUCGAACGAAGUGGCGAACGGGUGAGUAACGCGUAAUCAACCUGCCCUUCAGAGGGGGACAACAGUUGGAAACGACUGCUAAUACCGCAUAAUGAAGGAGGGGAUUGCGUCUGAUUAGCUAGUUGGAGGGGUAACGGCCCACCAAGGCGAUGAUCAGGAGCCGGUCUGAGGGGAAGAACGGCCAAAUUGGGACUGAGACACGGCCCAGACUCCUACGGGAGGCAGCAGUGGGGAAUCUUCCGAAAUGGACGAAAGUCUGACGGAGCAACGCCGCGUGAGUGAUGACGGCCUUCGGGUUGUAAAGCUCUGUUAAUCGGGACGCGGUACCGGAAUAGAAAGCCACGGCUAACUACGUGCCAGCAGCCGCGGUAAUUC